rnacentral:tRNA from 1 species
GAGGGUAUAGCUCAGUGGUACAGCCCAUGCUUAGCAUGCAGAAGCUCCUGGGUUCAAUCCCAGUACCUCUA